GAGAGGAGAUAGGGUGAUUUUUUAAGAAUUAAGUUUUUCAGGUUGGCAGCACUGGUUGGUAAUGGCGUCCAAACGUCAUCUGUCAAAAGUGAAAAGUGUUCAGUAUACUCUGCAAUUUCAUCAUGAAAAGACUAACAAAAGAGCUUGAAUGGAAAGACUCACAAACGAGUAACGACUGCAAAUUGUUGAAAUUUACUGUAAAAAUUCGUGCUCUGUGAAAAAUGUGCUAUGUUUCAUCAUUUUUUGUCAGCUCGUGAAACAAUGGACAUGUUGAAGGAUGAAUUUGGAUAACAUUACACGUGUAAUUUGUGGAAUACAGGCUGAAAUGCGCGAAAAAUUCCGAAUGGACCAUUUGAAACGAAGCCGCGGACAACAUUUACAUGAAGUUAUCUUUAAAACGUUAAUAGCAAAGGUCAAUUUAUCGAUUCCAAUAAAAAUUUUGAUUAAAUGAUGCAAA